rnacentral:rRNA from 1 species
CCUAAACCCACUGCUCGCCAGAGAACUACAAGUAAAAACUUAAAACUCAAAGGACUUGACGGCAUACCAUAUCACCCUAGAGGAGCCUGUCCUAUAAUCGAUAACCCACGCUACACCUCACCUGUUCUUGCACUAUGCUCAGCCUAUAUACCGCCGCCUUCAGCCCGCCUUACAAAAGCACAAACAGCGAGCAAAACAGCCACCACUAACACGCCAGGUCAAGGUGUAGCCAACGAACAGGAAGAGAUGGGCUACAUUUUCUAACUUAGACAACACCGACAGCAACAUGAAACACCCGCCUAAAGGUGGAUUUAGAAGUAAGCCAGGCAAGAUAUGCCUGACUGAACCUAGCUCUGGAAUGCGUACACACCGCCCGUCACCCCCUCCUCAA